AGCAUGGUUGCUGGAUCAUAUGGUAAAAGCAUGUUUAAUUUUGUGAAAAUUGCCAAACUGUCUUCCAAAGUGGGUGUGCCAUUUGCAUUCCCACCAGACAC
rnacentral:pre_miRNA from 1 species